GACGAACGCUGGCGGCGUGCCUAAUACAUGCAAGUAGGACGCAGUUGCGAACGGGUGAGUAACGCGUAGGUAACUACCUAUUAGAGGGGGAUAAAUAUUGGAAACGAUAGCUCAUACCGCAUACUAGUAGAUGGACCUGCGUUGUAUUAGCUAGUAGGUAGGGUAAUGGCCUACCUAGGCAACGGUACAUAGCCGGCCUGGGGGGGUGAUCGGCCAAACUGGGACUGGGACACGGCCCAGACUCCUAAGGGAAGCAACAGUGGGGAAUCAUCGGCAAUGGGGGGAACCCUGGCCGAGCAACGCCGCGUGAGUGAAGAAGGUUUUCGGAUCGUAAAGCUCUGUUGUUAAGGGAGCGGUACUUAACCAGAAAGGGACGGCUAACUACGUGCCAGCAGCCGCGGUAAUAC
rnacentral:rRNA from 1 species